UACGGAGGGAGCUAGCGUUAUUCGGAAUUACUGGGCGUAAAGCGCACGUAGGCGGCUUUGUAAGUUAGAGGUGAAAGCCCGGAGCUCAACUCCGGAACUGCCUUUAAGACUGCAUCGCUUGAAUCCAGGAGAGGUGAGUGGAAUUCCGAGUGUAGAGGUGAAAUUCGUAGAUAUUCGGAAGAACACCAGUGGCGAAGGCGGCAUCCUGGACCGAAAUUGACGCUGAGGCGCGAAAGCCA
rnacentral:rRNA from 1 species